rnacentral:rRNA from 1 species
UGGGGAAUCUUCCGCAAUGGACGAAAGUCUGACGGAGCAACGCCGCGUGUAUGAUGAAGGUCUUCGGAUUGUAAAGUACUGUCAUUGGGGAAGAACGGUUUUCUUGAAAAGAUUGAGAAGACAUGACGGUACCCAAGGAGGAAGCCCCGGCUAACUACGUGCCAGCAGCCGCGGUAAUACGUAGGGGGCAAGCGUUGUCCGGAAUUAUUGGGCGUAAAGGGCGCGUAGGCGGGCCUUUAAGUCCGGUGUGAAAGAUCAGGGCUCAACCCUGAGAGUGCAUCGGAAACUGGAGGCCUUGAGGACAGGAGAGGAAAGUGGAAUUCCACGUGUAGCGGUGAAAUGCGUAGAUAUGUGGAGGAACACCAGUGGCGAAGGCGACUUUCUGGACUGUAACUGACGCUGAGGCGCGAAAGCGUGGGGAGCAAACAGGAUUAGAUACCCUGGUAGUCCACGCCGUAAACGAUGAGUGCUAGGUGUAGAGGGUAUCGACCCCUUCUGUGCCGCAGUUAACACAAUAAGCACUCCGCCUGGGGAGUACGGCCGCAAGGUUGAAACUCAAAUGAAUUGACGGGGUCAUAGCUGUUCAU